GGGGCAAGCUCACCGAUGACGAUCUCAAUGUCAUCGAGGGCCGCCGCGAACAGCUCGAAGGCAAGCUCCAGCAGCGCUACGGCUUCGCCAAGGAUCAGAUCCACAAGGACGUGGACGACUGGUUCAAGACGUUAAAGUAAUCGCAUCAGAUUGAUGAAAAAGCCCCGGCACUGCGCCGGGGCUUUUUGUUUUACGACAAGAAUGUCGCUCAGGAUUAGAACACCGCGAGAUAUUUCAGAAUCGAAAUAAUACCGAU
rnacentral:misc_RNA from 1 species